rnacentral:tRNA from 1 species
GCCUGGGUGGCUCAGUUGGUUGAGCACUUGACUUCAAUGAUCUCCCAAUCCGUGGGUUCGAACCCCGCGUCAGGCU